rnacentral:rRNA from 1 species
UACAGAGGGGGCAAGCGUUGUUCGGAAUUAUUGGGCGUAAAGGGCGCGUAGGCGGCCUGUUAAGUCGAACGUGAAAUCCCCGGGCUCAACCCGGGAACUGCGUCCGAUACUGGCAGGCUUGAAUUCGGGAGAGGGAUGUGGAAUUCCAGGUGUAGCGGUGAAAUGCGUAGAUAUCUGGAGGAACACCGGUGGCGAAGGCGGCAUCCUGGACCGAUAUUGACGCUGAUGCG